rnacentral:rRNA from 1 species
GAGAGGUACAAGGGCAAAGUUCUUCGGAGAUAAAUUACCAUGGCGAACAGUUUGCAGCAUAUACUAAGUGCAGUGCCAAAGGCCAUACCUUAUGCGUUGUUAGAAGAAAUUACAGACAACUUUUCAGAUGAGCGAAUGCUUGGUCAAGGUGGCUUUGGAAAAGUUUACUGGGGAAUGUAUAAUGGAGAAGAAAUUGCUGUGAAAAAGCUUAGAAUGAUACAGCACCUUGCUGAUGAGCCACAAUUUAACAAUGAACUUCUUAGUCUUGUGCAUGUCCAACAUCAAAAUAUUGUCAAGUUAGUUGGCUACUGCUAUCAAACAAAACAUGAAGUUAAUGUAUACAAUGGAAGACUUGUCGUGGCUGACGUGAUAGAAAGAGUUCUCUGCUUUGAGUACCUUUCCCGUGGAAGCCUCGACGAAUAUCUUUCUGACGAAUCCUGCGGACUUGAUUGGUACGAACGUUACAAAAUAAUUGUCGGGAUUUGUGAGGGUCUAAAUUUCCUUCACAAUGGAACCAAAAGAGCAGUUUACCAUCUUGAUUUAAAACCUGCAAACAUAUUGUUGGAUGAGAACUGGAUGCCAAAAAUUUGUGACUUCGGUCUGUCAAGACUCAUUAGUAACUCAGCAAAAAGCCAUAACGCGGAACACUGUAUCGGAACACCUCCCUUCAUGCCACCAGAAUACAUAGAGAAGGGCAGAAUCUCUGACAAGUAUGAUGUUUUCAGCUUAGGCGUCACAAUCAUACAAAUAAUUGCAGGCCGUGAUGGCCAUAGCAAAUAUGAAGACAUGCCUUGCCAAAAAUUUGCUGAACUUAUACGGGCAUAAUUAUGUGAUCAAUAAUAAUGGAGUUGCUUAAAUUAGUACUAACAUCAUCAGUUGUGUCAUGUUUAAAUACCAUUUUGUAGGUAAACUUGAAUUGGAGGAUAAGGAUAGAGGGAACAUCAAAGCAUGUGGAAGAAUACUGCCAGCAAGUCAAGAAAUGUAUCACAAUUGCAUUAGAUUGCCUGGAGCAUGACAGAGACAAAAGGCCCACUAUAGGGUCUAUUAUCGAUACGUUGAAACAGCUAGAAACCAUGACUCACAGAACAGUAGAAGAAGAAAAAGAAGGAGAACCUGAGCAGUUGGAACAGAUAGAAACCAUGAUUCAUAACACAGCAGAAGAAGAGAAAGAAGAAGACCAGGAGCAGUUGGAACAGAUAGAAACCACGAUUAACAGCACUGUAGAAGGAGAAGGGCAACAGGAGCAGGAGAACUCUCAAGUUCUUACAUACGGGCCUUGGGGUGGAAAUGGCGGGACUCCUCAUGACAUCGGGGCAGCAUCUUCCUAUCGUCUUAAAAGUGUGACAAUUCGUUAUGGCGAUAUCAUUGAUUCACUUACAUUUUCAUAUAGCGAUCACAGUGAGCACGUACGCAGUGUUGGUCCAUGGGGUGGUACUGGUGGUGCGAACAAAUAUACGAUCAAAUUUGAACCAUCAGAGUUUCUCACAGAAAUUUCUGGACAAUUUGGUCCAUAUGCGUUAUCAACUUCCAAUGUCAUAACAUCGCUCAUGCUGGUAACCAAUGAGGAUAGAUAUGGACCUUUUGUAUUUGUACAAGGAACUCCUUUCUGCAGCAACUUGGAAAACGAUUGGGCUAUAGUUGGUUUUUUUGCACGUGCGGAGAGAUAUGUUCAUAAAAUUGGUGUGUAUGCCAGACCCAAUUCGCUCGACGGAGGAACUGCUGUGCAGUCCGAGCUGCAAGGAGGACAAGAGUAGUGGUAGUAGUACGGUAUGUGUUUCUAGCGCACUUGGUCCAUUUGGUAUACGACGGGACAAGAGUACUGUUGCUGUAUCUGUAUGAGAUCGUACAUUGCCU